UGAGCAAUCUGCCCUUCUCUUCGGAAUAAGCGUUGGAAACGACGUCUAAUGCCGAAUACGACCUCCUUUCGCAUGAUUGGAGGUGGAAAGCUCCGGCGGAGAAGGAUGAGCUCGCGGCCUAUCAGCUAGUUGGUGUGGGUAAUGGCCUACCAAGGCGACGACGGGUAGCCGGCCUGGAGGAGGGCGACCGGCCACACGUGGGACUGAGACACGGCCCAGACCUCCGUACGGGGAGNAG
rnacentral:rRNA from 1 species